rnacentral:lncRNA from 1 species
GGUUUUAGCCAUUUAUGCCGCUGACUUUGUGUGUUUUUGUUUUGAGUUUAGUUGUUCUUCGUGAUUGUUGGCUGCUCUGCGUUUUCUCUUUUGGGUUGGUGUCGUUUUGAUAUCCCAAUAGGUUUGGCUUAUGGUGUUCUUGAUUUGGGUCUUUGUGUUGGUGUUGGUGGCAACGACUCUUGGUUGGUUUAGGGGUUGUCGUUUCGGUUGUGGUUGAUGCGACGAAGUUUAUUGUUGAGA